rnacentral:rRNA from 1 species
CAGCAGCCGCGGGAAUACAGAGGGUGCGAGCGUUAAUCGGAUUUACUGGGCGUAAAGCGUGCGUAGGCGGCUAAUUGAGUCGGAUGUGAAAUCCCCGAGCUUAACUUGGGAAUUGCAUUCGAUACUGGUUAGCUAGAGUGUGGGAGAGGAUGGUAGAAUUCCAGGUGUAGCGGUGAAAUGCGUAGAGAUCGGGAGGAACAUCAGUGGCGAAGGCGGCCAUCUGGGACAACACUGACGCUGAGGCACGAAAGCGUGGGGAGCAAACAGGAUUAGAUACCCCAGUAGUACCUGUCUCUUAUAC